rnacentral:rRNA from 1 species
AGCUCCAGUAGCGUAUAUUAAAGUUGUUGCAGUUAAAAAGCUCGUAGUUGGAUUUCUGGCGUGGUGCGCCCGGCCCGCCGCCGCUAAGGCGGCGAGUGCCGGCGCGCGCCUGCCAUCCUUCUGGAGAGUGUGCCUGCCCUUCACUGGGUUGGGCACGCGAUCUAGAUCGUUUACUUUGAAAAAAUUAGAGUGUUUAAAGCAGGCUUACGCUUCUGAAUACAUUAGCAUGGAAUAAUAAGAUAGGACUUUGGUUCUAUUUUGUUGGUUUCUAGAACUAAAGUAAUGAUUGAUAGGGACAGUUGGGGGUGCUAGUAUUUAACGGCCAGAGGUGAAAUUCUUGGAUUCGUUAAAGACUAACUAAUGCGAAAGCAUUCACCAAGGAUGUCUUCU